CCCUUAGACGUUCUGGGCCGCACGCGCGCUACACUGGCCGGUGCAACAAGCAUCCGUCCUUGGCCGACAGGCCCGGGCAAUCUUUGAACGGCGGUCGUGAUGGGGAUAGACUUUUGCAAUUUUUGGUCUUCAACGAGGAAUUCCUAGUAAACGCAAGUCAUCAACUUGCAUUGAUUACGUCCCUGCCCUUUGUACACACCGCCCGUCGCACCUACCGAUUGAAUGGUCCGGUGAAGCCUCCGGAUUGGCGCGCACCUCGGUGCCGCCGAGAAGUUGGCUAAACCUUACCAUUUAGAGGAAGGUGAAGUCGUAACA
rnacentral:rRNA from 1 species